ACCCGCUGAACUUAAGCAUAUCAAUAAGCGGAGGAAAAGAAACCAACAGGGAUUGCCCUAGUAACGGCGAGUGAAGCGGCAACAGCUCAAAUUUGAAAUCUGGCGCAAGCACGAGUUGAGAUUUGUAGAGGAUGCUUCUGGGCGGCGGCCGGUCUAAGUUCCUUGGAACAGGACGUCAUAGAGGGUGAGAAUCCCGUAUGCGACCGGUUGGCACCCGUCACGUAGCUCCUUCGACGAGUCGAGUUGUUUGGGAAUGCAGCUCUAAAUGUGAGGGAAAUUCCUUCUAAAGCUAAAUACCGGCCAGAGACCGAUAGCGCACAAGUAGAGUGAUCGAAAGAUGAAAAGCACUUUGAAAAGAGAGUUAAAAAGCACGUGAAAUUGUUGAAAGGGAAGCGCAUGCAACCUAGACUUGGCGGCGGUGUUCCGCCGGUCUUUUGACCGGUCUACUCGCCGCCGGCCGUGCAGCAUCACUUGGGAGCGCCGGAUAUAGGCGCCGGGAAUGUGUCUCCUCGGAGUGUUAUAGCCCGGCGCACAAUACGGCGUCCCCCGAGUGAGGUCCGCGCUUCGGCUAGGAUGCUGGCGUAAUGGUUGUCUGCGGCCCGUCUUGAAACACGG
rnacentral:rRNA from 1 species